rnacentral:rRNA from 1 species
ACUCCUACGGGAAGGCAGCAGUGGGGAAUCUUGGACAAUGGGGGCAACCCUGAUCCAGCCAUGCCGCGUGAGUGAUGAAGGCCUUAGGGUCGUAAAGCUCUUUCGCCUGUGAUGAUAAUGACAGUAGCAGGUAAAGAAACCCCGGCUAACUCCGUGCCAGCAGCCGCGGUAAUACGGAGGGGUUAGCGUUGUUCGGAAUUACUGGGCGUAAAGCGCGCGUAGGCGGAUUAGUCAGUUAGAGGUGAAAUCCCAGGGCUCAACCCUGGAACUGCCUUUAAUACUGCUAGUCUUGAGUUCGAGAGAGGUGAGUGGAAUUCCGAGUGUAGAGGUGAAAUUCGUAGAUAUUCGGAGGAACACCAGUGGCGAAGGCGGCUCACUGGCUCGAUACUGACGCUGAGGUGCGAAAGUGU